UACGUAGGGUCCGAGCGUUGUCCGGAAUUAUUGGGCGUAAAGGGCUCGUAGGCGGUUCGUCGCGUCGGGAGUGAAAACUCGGAGCUCAACUCCGAGCCUGCUUCCGAUACGGGCAGACUAGAGGUAGGCAGGGGAGAGCGGAACUCCUGGUGUAGCGGUGGAAUGCGCAGAUAUCAGGAAGAACACCAGUGGCGAAGGCGGCGUCCUGGACUGGUACUGACGCUCAGGAGCGAAAGCGUGGGGAGCGAACCGG
rnacentral:rRNA from 1 species